rnacentral:rRNA from 1 species
AGAGUUUGAUCCUGGCUCAAGACGAACGCUGGCGGCGUGCUUAACACAUGCAAGUCGAACGGGUCACGCGGAUAGCUUGCUAGCUGCAUGUUUAGUGGCGGACGGGUGAGUAACGCGUGAAUACCUGUCCAUCGGAGGGGGACAACGGCUGGAAACGGCCGCUAAUACCGCGUAAGCCGAUAGGUGAAAGGCUGCCUUAGGUAGCCGCCGAUAUGGGGGUUCGCGUCCUAUCACCUAGUUGGUGGGGUAAGGGCCUACCAAGGCGAAGACGGGUAGCCGGUCUGAGAGGGCGAUCGGCCACACUGUAACUGAGAUACGGUCCAUACUCCUACGGGAGGCAGCAGUGGGGAAUAUUGGGCAAUGGGGGAAACCCUGACCCAGCGACGCCGCGUGAGGGAAGAAGGUUUUCGGAUCGUAAACCUCUGUUGUACGGGAAGAAGGAAGUGACGGUACCGUACGAGGAACCCCCAGCAAACUACUUGCCAUCAGCCGCGGUAAUACGUAGGGGGCGAGCGUUGUCCGGAAUUACUGGGCGUAAAGGGUGCGCAGGCUGUUAUGCAAGUCUGCUGUGAAAUGCACGGGCUUAACCCGUGAGUUGCGGCGGAUACUGUAUGCCUGGAGUACUGGAGAGGAAAGUGGAAUUCCCGGUGUAGCGGUGAGAUGCGUACAUAUCUGGAGGAACACCGGUGGCGAAGGCGGCUUUCUGGCCAGUUACUGACGCUCAUGCACGAAAGCUGGGGUAGCAAACCGGAUUAUAUACCCGGGUAGUCCCAUCUGUAAACGAUGAAUGCUAGGUGUGGGUGUCGAGAGGCAUCCGUGCCGCAUCUAACGCGAUAAUCAUUCCGCCUGGGGAGUACGGUCGCAAGAUUGAAACUCAAAGGAAUUGACGGGGGCCCGCACAAGCGGUGGAGCACGUGGUUUAAUUCGAUGCAAACCG